GGGUUUGUGGCUCAGUGGUAGAGCACUUGCCUCAAGUAUGAGGCACUGGGUUUGAUUCUCAGCACCA
rnacentral:tRNA from 1 species